ensembl:snRNA U2 U2 spliceosomal RNA
AAAAUUUUUCAAAAGAAAAAAAAUCUGUUCUUAUCAGUUUAAUAUCUGAUACGUCCCCCAUCCGGGGACUACAUAUUAAAUGGAUUUUUAGAUCACGGAGCUGGAGCCGGGGCUUGCUCCGUCCACUCCAUGCAUCGGCCUGGUAUUGCAGUGUCUCCAGGAACGGUGUGCUUUCC